CAGUCCUUUAAAACUGCCAUUCCCUCCAGUCUGCUCACAAAGCUCAAUAACCCUGGCAUCAGCACCUCUGUGUAAUUGGAUUUUGGAUUUUCUAAACACCUGACAUUAAUCUGUUACAAUUUUCUCCCUACAUAAGUGAUUGUAUGCCUAUGCACGACUCUAAUGUCAUCAUUAAGCCGAUAGUCAAAGUUGAUUGAGUCCAGAGAUCACACACCGUCUCACAGCUCAGUAGCAGCUCAGUCAGAAGGCCUUGCAACGAGUUGUGAAGUCUGCCCAGUGAAUCCUCAGCACCCGGUUUCCUGUUAUCGAUGCUAUCGGUACGUACAGGGCCUGCAGAGCGCGUGGAGUGUAUCGUCAAGGACACCACUCACCCAAGCAAUGGACCGUUCCCUGCUACCAUCAGCUAACUGCUGCAGCAGGGAGAGGGAUGCAUAUAUAUAUAAAAUGAGGGCUGGCAAUAUGAGUGCAACUCUCAGCCCGCGUUGACACUAGCCCAAUUAUCCAGGCCUCCCAUUGUCACAGAGACAGGCAUGUUGUAGUGUGUUGGUGCCCGACCAUGCCAGUCUCGCUGUGAGGAACACAACAUCAGAGCCGAACUCAGGAUCUACAGGAUCGCACUGAAGCCUGCUGUGCUUGAUGGUCAAACUAAUCAAUGAAUAUUGACAAUGUCGCUGCGCGUUUCCUACCGAAGAGGAUUGUGGAUCCAUACUACGGCCGUGUUCUUCCUUUUACAUGUUUAAUAAGA
ensembl:lncRNA